UAUAUUUAUAUUCAAAACCAGAGUCAGCCUGCUUUAAAUACAUCUGAUUGGAGAGUAUUAAAAAUUGGAAAGCUGAAAAUUGGACAUUAUGACGUUACUGGACCUCUGAGAGAUAGCAAUUUGCCAAUGAUGACAGUGAAUUGUACAGCAAGGUGACUGGUAUCAUCAGAAGGAGGACCCAACCAACACAAAACUGUGAACCAACACAUGAAACUAUGAGAGCAACCACACUGCAAGAAAUAAGUGGAAAGGUUUUAUGCUGUCUAUGGAUAUGCAUAGCAUAUAUACAUGGCUUUGCAAAAGCAGUUUGCUGGAAGAGGACAUCAUUAGAGACUGAGUGAGUGAAAGAUGGCACAACACAUAACUGAUGACAAAGGUAGAAUGCGACAGAUCUAUCCUUAUUCCAGUCAAGUGGAACAACUGUGAAAAAGAUAAAGGUCCUAACCUCACAAGGUUCUGUUCAUCUGGAAAAGAGGAAAGGAUGAAAGAAAGAAAAAUCACUGAGAAGUGCCUAUUGUAUGAAACAUGCAGUGUCUUACUUCCUUGUCCUGUAAUCCGUAAAGAAAGAGAAAUUUGGA